AUCCUGGCUCAGAUUGAACGCUGGCGGCAUGCCUUACACAUGCAAGUCGAACGGUAACAGGUCUUUCGGGAUGCUGACGAGUGGCGAACGGGUGAGUAAUACAUCGGAACGUGCCUAGUAGUGGGGGAUAACUACUCGAAAGAGUGGCUAAUACCGCAUGAGAUCUAUGGAUGAAAGCAGGGGACCUUCGGGCCUUGUGCUACUAGAGCGGCCGAUGGCAGAUUAGGUAGUUGGUGGGAUAAAAGCUUACCAAGCCUACGAUCUGUAGCUGGUCUGAGAGGACGAUCAGCCACACUGGGACUGAGACACGGCCCAGACUCCUACGGGAGGCAGCAGUGGGGAAUUUUGGACAAUGGGGGAAACCCUGAUCCAGCAAUGCCGCGUGCAGGAUGAAGGCCUUCGGGUUGUAAACUGCUUUUGUACGGAACGAAAAGUCUUGGGUUAA
rnacentral:rRNA from 1 species